CACCCUUUGUUUUCUAGAAUUUGAAAAUUGCUGUUAUACAAAUCAUAUUUUGAAAAUAUAACUCAAGUGUUUGUCCAAAUCAGGUUUAAGGGCAUUGCUUCUCUCCUAUAAUAGGAUUGAGAAGAUUAAAAUCACGCAGCACAGAGGUGCAAUCAGAGAGUUUAUGAAGGAUUAAUGGAACUACAAACAUAUCUAAAUGGAAAAGAAUGGUGGAAACUAAGCCUGAACUUUAAAAUAUAAGAACACUUAUUCCCACAGUGGAAAUGUGAAUUGAAUAUUCUCAUCAUUCUUUUCCAUUGGUUUCAAAGUCAACUUCCUCAUCCACCCUCCACCUCAUCCCAUCCAAGAUUAUAGAUUAAUAAACUAGUAGAAAGGACAAGCAAUAAGACUGGAUAGCACUUCAUAUUUCAGGAUUAACCAAAUAGAUGGAAAAUGACUCCAACUGUAUCUGUUCCUGGGUCAUCAAGGCUCCCUUUCUCAGAGCUCUCUCUUGACUAGCCCUCCAUAUUGAUCAUUGAAACCCAUGUGUAUAUACAAAUACUAUAUGAUACAAUAUUUCAAAAUUUAAAACAUAUAUACUAAAAACUCUUUUAGUAAACAUGUCUUCAUUAUGACAUACAGCAUAAAAAAAGAAAGCCUGGUCCAUAGGGCUUGUCAUAGGAUAGAUUGCAGGUGCUGAGGAUUCCAAAUAUCCAUAAAGUACGCGUGACAAGUUCUGUUCCAUCCAUUGUGGAGAACAGAGCCCCCUGCUGAAUCAUGUUGAGUUUUUAUGACCAUCUAGGAGACAUGCUGAGCUUCUGCUUGAGAAGGAUGGGGCCUAGGGCAAUGGGGCACAGGUUGCACAGGAGAGCAUUAAUGAAAUCUUGUUGUGGGGAGGGUGUUGGACAGAAUGUUAGAGCCCAAGCUUUGAUAUCAGCUUUUCUAUCAGAGUUGAGAUGGUCCAGAUGUGAAGUAGUGAGACAGGAAAGGAGUGACGUAGAAAUGAAAAGCAGUAUGAUUUUGUUAAUUGGAG
rnacentral:lncRNA from 1 species